rnacentral:rRNA from 1 species
GACGAACGCUGGCGGCGUGCCUAAUACAUGCAAGUAGAACGCUGAAGAGAGGAGCUUGCUCUUCUUGGAUGAGUUGCGAACGGGUGAGUAACGCGUAGGUAACCUGCCUGGUAGCGGGGGAUAACUAUUGGAAACGAUAGCUAAUACCGCAUGACAUUGAUUAUCGCAUGAUAAUUGAUUGAAAGAUGCAAUUGCAUCACUACCAGAUGGACCUGCGUUGUAUUAGCUAGUUGGUGAGGUAACGGCUCACCAAGGCGACGAUACAUAGCCGACCUGAGAGGGUGAUCGGCCACACUGGGACUGAGACACGGCCCAGACUCCUACGGGAGGCAGCAGUAGGGAAUCUUCGGCAAUGGGGGGAACCCUGACCGAGCAACGCCGCGUGAGUGAAGAAGGUUUUCGGAUCGUAAAGCUCUGUUGUAAGAGAAGAACGGGUGUGAGAGUGGAAAGUUCACACUGG